rnacentral:rRNA from 1 species
UACGGGGGGGGCAAGCGUUGUUCGGAAUUACUGGGCGUAAAGGGCGCGUAGGCGGCCUGCUAAGUCGGAUGUGAAAUCCCUCGGCUCAACCGAGGAACUGCAUCCGAUACUGGCGGGCUUGAAUCCGGGAGAGGGAUGUGGAAUUCCAGGUGGAGCGGUGAAAUGCGUAGAUAUCUGGAGGAACACCGGUGGCGAAGGCGGCAUCCUGGACCGGUAUUGACGCUGAGGCGCGAAAGCUAGGGGAGCAAACGGG